rnacentral:lncRNA from 1 species
CUCUUUAUUUGCAUCGAAACAAAUAGGAUCUAUCGGGUUCAAGCUGGUCCUCUCUCCUCUCUUCCUCCUCUUGGCGAAGCCCCUAGAUCUCGUCCUGUUUGCAGAUAGCUUGAAAUCGUCUAUUGAGCUUCUUGUAUACACAUCGGAUCAUUUCUACUUUCAUGUUUUCUCUUAGAAUCAGUUAUUUGUAAAGGUUAAUGAAUCUUAACCCUAGUUUUUUUUAUAAGAAUCCGGUCUUUAUUUGUUUUUGAUUGUCACCGCCUCUGUAUUAGUUUUGCUUGUAUUUUACUGAACUUUAUGUGAUACUUUAUGGUACCUUAGUUCAGAUAUUACAGAGUUUUGGUUCUGAUGAAUUAAUUUUGAAUCUUAUGUUCUAUAUACGUCUGUGAUACGUUGAUUUUGAAUUCAAUAGUUAUUUUCUUACUUGAUUUUGCUUAUUUAUGGUGUUUGAUAUAUCUGGGCUUCCAGCUACAUUUCUUCUAAGUCCAAGGUUGAUGGAACCGUAGAUCUGUUUUUCCCUGUCUGCUUUAUUGUUAGCCCAAAGAAGGAAAUAAUGUCUCCCCACAUUAUGCGUUCUUAUUUAAUUGCUUUGGUCGUACAUCUGCACAUGCUAGAAACUACUUUGGUGAGCUGCAACAGGUAAAUAAGUGUCUUGUUUUGACAUGUAUCAAUUCUGUUUGCACAUGUACAUAUGAUAUGAAAAUUGAUUCCAGUAGGAAGAACUAAUAAGUAAACCAUAAAUAAAUACAGUGAGUCAUUUUCAAGAAUAAACUCAAUUAUAUGGUGUAAAUUUUAAAUGAUUUCGAUUUUAUUGUAUGAUAAUGAUAGUUUAGGGACAAUUACAAACCAAUUUCUACAGCCAAAAAAUGCAGGACUAGUUGUUGAAAAUUUAUUUGGCACGGUGCAUCAGCUUGGUGUAAUUUGGUUGGGCAGUCUGCACCAGAUUGCUAGGGUGAUAUACCUUCUAUUUCUGAAAUGAGUAAAUGAAAAUAAAAUUAGGCUGACCCUUUAUGCUUUUAAUUGAUUAUAAAAUACCUUCUUUGUUAGCAUUCUGGUUGGAAGGCAUAUGAUGAUAAAAUUGUUUGUGUUCAUGGGGGUCAAAGCUAAAGCUAAUCCUAAUAUUACUGGUUUUCAUUUCUUAUUACUUGCAGUCUUGUUUAUUUGUUAGCAUUCUAAUUUGCAGUCUUCACCCUAGCCUAGUACCAAUUUUCCUAUUUUUUCAAUUAUUUUCUGCAAUUCAAGCUUUCAAAAUCAUGUCCUGCAUCAAAAUGUUUUUCAUGGAUGUUAGAUUCUUCCGUUGCUCUUUUCUAUAAUUUGUUAUGUUAGUUGAAUUGUUGUGAUCAAUUUGUAGAUGGAGGAGCCAUGAAUGAACUGUUAGAGAGACAAGACUAUAGGGGAAAAUGGCAGAAGAAGUUAACUGUUGACUUCAAAACCCGGGUAGCUGGCAAAUGUAAAUGACAACUUUUUUAGUGGUCCCUCGAACAAGAGAAAUGUAUUAAAGAACUACUGUCCUAUAGCAACAAUUUUUUUAAAUUUUAAAAAAUAAAUUAUAUUCCAUUAGCAGGUCUUUAUUUGGUCAUUUAUGAUAAAAUUUGGGGGUUCGCUGGGUGUUGGAAUGUGUAAGUGAGUUAUUGGGCUUCCUUGACAAAGUAUAUAUCCACCUCUAAUCUGAUUACAAGUUACAAACUAUUCUUACCCAU